GAUGAAGAACGCAGCGAAAUGCGAUAAGUAAUGUGAAUUGCAGAAUUCAGUGAAUCAUCGAAUCUUUGAACGCACAUUGCGCCCCUUGGUAUUCCGAGGGGCCUGCCUGUUCGAGCGUCAUUACACCACUCAAGCUAUGCUUGGUAUUGGGCGUCGUCCUUAGUUGGGCGCGCCUUAAAGACCUCGGCGAGGCCACUCCGGCUUUAGGCGUAGUAGAAUUUAUUCGAACGUCUGUCAAAGGAGAGGAACUCUGCCGACUGAAACCUUUAUUUUUCUAGGUUGACCUCGGAUCAGGUAGGGAUACCCGCUGAACUUAAGCAUAUCAAUAAGCGGAGGA
rnacentral:misc_RNA from 1 species